rnacentral:lncRNA from 1 species
UUGUACCGGUGAGUCAGCUUGGCUUUAAUGCACAGAAGAAAUACCAAUGAGACAUCUAGCAAAAGAGAAAACCUGCUUAUGCAAAUGAUGCAUGAAAUGCAAUGCUUGUUUAUUUAUUUUUGUUUUCAAGGAACUUAUUAUAUCAUUUGCAAAUAUAUAUAUAUCAACAAUUGAAAUAAUUUUUAUACGACCAAAAAAUAUCUUUUCAUUUAUAUAAUUGGAAGGAUUAC